CAGUAGCCGCGGGAAUACGUAGGGCGCAAGCGUUGUCCGGAAUUAUUGGGCGUAAAGAGCUCGUAGGCGGUUUGUCGCGUCUGGUGUGAAAACCUCAGGCUCAACCUGGGGCGUGCAUCGGGUACGGGCAGACUAGAGUGCGGUAGGGGAGACUGGAAUUCCUGGUGUAGCGGUGGAAUGCGCAGAUAUCAGGAGGAACACCGAUGGCGAAGGCAGGUCUCUGGGCCGCAACUGACGCUGAGGAGCGAAAGCAUGGGGAGCGAACAGGACUAGAGACCCCUGUAGUCCCUGUCUCUUAUAC
rnacentral:rRNA from 1 species